GAAUGAAACGAUGAUUUACUGUUUCCUAUUGGUUUGAUUGCCUGGGUGAUGGUGUUUUUGUAUUAGCUCUAUCUGACAAUUA
rfam:Medicago truncatula strain A17 chromosome 7, whole genome shotgun sequence.